UACGUAGGGUGCAAGCGUUAAUCGGAAUUACUGGGCGUAAAGCGUGCGCAGGCGGUUAUGCAAGACAGAUGUGAAAUCCCCGGGCUCAACCUGGGAACUGCAUUUGUGACUGCAUGGCUAGAGUACGGCAGAGGGGGAUGGAAUUCCGCGUGUAGCAGUGAAAUGCGUAGAUAUGCGGAGGAACACCGAUGGCGAAGGCAAUCCCCUGGGCCUGUGACUGACGCUCAUGCACGAAAGCGUGGGGAGCAAACAGG
rnacentral:rRNA from 1 species